rnacentral:rRNA from 1 species
UACGUAGGGUGCAAGCGUUAAUCGGAAUUACUGGGCGUAAAGCGUGCGCAGGCGGUUGUGCAAGACAGAUGUGAAAAUCCCCCGGGCUCAACCUGGGAAUUGCAUUUGUGACUGUACGGCUAGAGUGUGUCAGAGGGGGGUAGAAUUCCACGUGUAGCAGUGAAAUGCGUAGAGAUGUGGAGGAAUACCGAUGGCGAAGGCAGCCCCCUGGGAUAACACUGACGCUCAUGCACGAAAGCGUGGGAGCAAACAGG